rnacentral:lncRNA from 1 species
GUGGCAUAUGAGCUAUGUAUGGAUGUUUGAAAGGACUGCUUGAGUGGAUGUCAGUUACAGUAUACCACAAUUUUCCUUAAAGAUCCCAUGCCAUGCUAUUGAUGGAUGCUUUAAUAUAGGUAUUAGUUGGCUACAAACACAGUAUUCAAAGACGUCCCCGAAAUUCAGCCGUGGUGCAGAGUUACAGCCACUCCAAACCAGUCGCACAUUGAGCUUCCCCCAAACGCGCUGUUUCGGUGGGCGUGUCAAGGCAGGUCAAGGAGGGGGGUGGGGGUGUGGCCCUGAGCAGCUUGUAGCCACAGUACAAUGCGCUCUGGUUACGGUGGGCGUGUCAAGGCAGGUCAAGGAGGGGGGUGGGGGUGUGGCCCUGAGCAGCUUGUAGCCACAGUACCAUGCGCUCGCCGCUCUGUUGACGGUGGAUGUAUCGCAAUGGCUCGUAGAAACCCAUAUUAUACAUAGAUAUCUAUAUCAUAUAAUCUAUAAUAUAUAUUAUCACCUGGCCCUGAGCAGCUUGUAGCCACGGUACCAUGCGCUCUGUUUACGGUGGAUGUAUCGCAAUGGCUCUUAGAAACCCAUUUUAUACAUAGAUAUCUAUAUCAUAAUAUAUAUUAUCACGGCCAAAAGCUGUGUGAGCCUCCAGACGAUCAAACGACCGCGUCUUCUUCAGAUUGAUGUGGAAGUGGAAGAACCAGAGACGUCGGAGAACCCGACGAAGUCCUUUGCGAUUCAUUAUAUCGUCUGCACACAGGUUUUGGCCGUGAUAAUAUGUAUUAUUUGAUAUAGAUAUCUAUGUAUUAUAUGAUAUUAUUUAGAUGUAGAGCCCCAGGACUGUAACGCUGCUGGAGUUGUUAUUAGGAUCUAAACAACACGUCGGACUCUCGUCUCUGGUAUUUCUACAACGAGACUCGUAGUGGGGGUUAUCUCAGCCAUGGUUGAGAAUGAAUUGGGGGAAAGGAACUUUGGCUUUGACUCCCUCAAGUACAUGAACCACGACAUGGAGGAGAAGGGGAUUGUUGGCCGCGAAUGUAUCCCGCUUGAGCCCUGCUUCCCGCCGCCUCGGCAGCGGUCAGCGCUAAUCCCCGCCUCCUGAAGCGGUGGUCCAUCGGCAGCGAGGCUCCGGCGGGAGACGACCGCGGUCAACAAUCCCUUUCUCCUCCAUGUUGUGGUUCAUGCCU